GUUUGGACACCACUGUUUUGCAGUAUCUGAAAUUUUGUAACAGCUGGAGGGCCACAGUUUGGACACCACUGUUUUGCAGUAUCUGAAAUUUUGCAACAGCUGGAGGGCCAAAGUUUGAACACCACUGCUAUAGACGAUACUCAUUUUUUUUUAUCCGGAAACAAGACGGCGGCUCACCGUUGACUAUAUGAACACAUGGAGCUUCUGAAACACGCUGUGAACAGAUACGAUAUUGCGGCACUUGCGCACUCGGUAUGUGUACAAACACAACGUGGUCCAGAAGGAUAUGAAGCUGAUUGGACAUCCAUGGUCGUGUUGGCAGAUUCUUUAUCACCGGUAUAAGCAAUAAAAAGGAUUGACAGCGCUCCAAUAAAAUCCCCUUCCAAACAGGGAGGAAUUAAGUGUUUAUAUGGCUCCCUUUAAAGUUCAACAUGGAAUCCCCAUUACAGUUCUAUUGAAGUAAAAAACAUUGGCACAGAGGCGCAGAAUCAUGGUUGCCAUGACAACUGAGAAAAGAGGCGAACCAGGGUUUGCAUCGGUGUAAUGGACGACAUCUGGUGGGAAAUCAUUGGCUGGCACCAGGCAUUCUUGGAAGAAUAUGUCUUGGAAGUGUAUAAUUUAUUUAACCCUUCCACGUCUGCUCACCUUAUAAUUUUAUUUUAUUUUUUUUUUAUAGGAUCAAAGAGGGUAAAUUAUAAAUGUCAUAGAGAUCAGUAGAGCUUUCCUUUUUAUUACAGCAGGGUUGAGUAAACCAUGGAGUUUCGCAUUUACUAUACGAUUCCUAUAGGUCACUAGGUAAACAUUCUAGAACAUUAUGAACCUCGGGUCACAGAGGCGGCGUUAUUGCCGAUCAUUGUUCCUAUGCAUUAAACACAAUGUUAUGUCAUCAUUAAAAUGUUGCAGCUUUAUCUGUUCUUCAUAGUCUGUAAACUCUUGUGUGCCGGGC